rnacentral:snRNA from 1 species
AGAAUAGCUUGAACCCUGGAGGCAGAGGUUGCAGUGAGCCGAGAUCGCGCCACUGCACUGUAGCCUGGGUGACAGGG